CCUACGGGCGGCAGCAGUGGGGAAUAUUGCACAAUGGGGGGAACCCUGAUGCAGCAACGCCGCGUGGGUGAAGAAGUACUCCGGUAUGGAAAGCCUUGUUUGCAGGGAAGAAAAUGACGGUACGUGACCAAGCAGCCCCGGCUCACUACGUGCCAGCAGCCGCCGUAAUGCGGAGGGGACAGGCGUUAUCCGGAUUUACUGGGUGUAAAGGGGGCGUUGACGGGAUGGCAAGUCUGGAGUGAAAGCGCGGGGCCCAACCGCGGGACUGCUUUGGAAACUGGGGUGCUGGAGUGGAGGAGGGGUAAGCGGAAUGCGUGGUGUAGCGGUGAAAUGCGUAGAUAUUAGGAGGAACACCGGUGGCGAAGGCGGCUUACUGGACUGUAACUGACGUUGAGGCUCGAAGGCGUGGGGAGCGAACAGGAUUAGAUACCCGAGUAGUC
rnacentral:rRNA from 1 species